UACGUAGGGUGCGAGCGUUAAUCGGAAUCACUGGGCGUAAAGGGUGCGUAGGCGGGUCUUUAAGUCAGGGGUGAAAUCCUGGAGCUCAACUCCAGAACUGCCUUUGAUACUGAAGAUCUUGAGUUCGGGAGAGGUGAGUGGAACUGCGAGUGUAGAGGUGAAAUUCGUAGAUAUUCGCAAGAACACCAGUGGCGAAGGCGGCUCACUGGCCCGAUACUGACGCUGAGGCACGAAGGCGUGGGGAGCAAACAGG
rnacentral:rRNA from 1 species